UCAGUUCGGACUGAAGGCUGAAAUUCGCCUUCAUGAAGCCGGAAUUGCUAGUAAUGGCAGGUCAGCAUACUGCCGUGAAUACGUUCCCGGGCCUUGUACACACCGCCCGUCACACCAUGAGAGUUGGGAAUACCCGAAGCCUGUGAGCUAACUUUUAGAGGCAGCAGUCGAAGGUAGAAUCAAUGAUUGGGGUGAAGUCGUAACAAGGUAGC
rnacentral:rRNA from 1 species